rnacentral:rRNA from 1 species
GACGAACGCUGGCGGCGUGCUUAACACAUGCAAGUCGAACGGAAAGGCCCUGCUUUUGUGGGGUGCUCGAGUGGCGAACGGGUGAGUAACACGUGAGUAACCUGCCCUUGACUUUGGGAUAACUUCAGGAAACUGGGGCUAAUACCGGAUAGGAGCUCCUGCUGCAUGGUGGGGGUUGGAAAGUUUCGGCGGUUGGGGAUGGACUCGCGGCUUAUCAGCUUGUUGGUGGGGUAGUGGCUUACCAAGGCUUUGACGGGUAGCCGGCCUGAGAGGGUGACCGGCCACAUUGGGACUGAGAUACGGCCCAGACUCGAACGGGAGGCAGCAGUGGAGAGUAUUACACAAUGGGCGGAAGCCUGAUGCAGCAACGCCGCGUGCGGGAUGACGGCCUUCGGGUUGUAAACCGCUUUCGCCUGUGACGAAGCGUGAGUGACGGUAAUGGGUAAAGAAGCACCGGCUAACUACGUG